UACGUAUGUCCCAAGCGUUAUCCGGAUUUAUUGGGCGUAAAGCGAGCGCAGGCGGUUAUUUAAGUCUGAUGUGAAAGCCUACGGCUCAACCGUAGAAUUGCAUCGGAAACUGGAUAACUUGAGUGCAGUAGAGGAGAGUGGAACUCCAUGUGUAGCGGUGAAAUGCGUAGAUAUAUGGAAGAACACCAGAGGCGAAGGCGGCUCUCUGGACUGUAACUGACGCUGAGGCUCGAAAGUGUGGGUAGCAAAC
rnacentral:rRNA from 1 species